rnacentral:lncRNA from 1 species
UCAUCUUCUCACAGCCAAGAGUACUCUGUCUUAGUUUGAGUACUCUCUUGAAUAGACUCGCCACAGCCUAAGCCCGGAUGGCUCCUUCUUCAGAUGCUUGCAAUGGACUUCUUGGAUCGCUUAGAAGCUCACUAAACUCCCCUCCUCAAGCUUGGAAACUCCCCUCCUCAAGCUUGGAUUGAGUAUAGGUCCAAGCUUGCAAGUGAGCUUCAGUGAGACUUCACACCAGUGGCACAUCACCACUUCUUUCUCAACUCUCCAUUGCUCCACACAAUGGGCAAAGUCUUCCUCUUUCAACUCGGAUGGAUGGUGAACCAAGAACACCUCUUGUGAACCUGAAACAUCACUCAAACUCCAGCAAAGAUAAGACACAAGUGCAUUGGGUCAACCCUUGAUGCAUCAUCAAGUUUGAACACCAAUGUCUUUAAGCAAUGCAACAGAUUAAACUAGACAUUUUCAAGUUCUAAUCUUUGCAAGCAAACUCUCUAAGCACUAGCAUGAUCCUAACAGAUUCAAUACAAGCUACUUAGGCAAUUUUUUAAAGCUUCUCUACUCAGCAUUUAGACAUGAAUCUAAUGCUUCAAUGUAAGACAGCCAUUUGACAGUAUG